CCUACGGGAGUCAGCAGUGGGGGAUAUUGCACAAUGGGGGGAACCCUGAUGCAGCGACGCCGCGUGGGUGAAGAAGCGCCUCGGCGCGUAAAGCCCUGUCAGCAGGUAAGAAAAUGACGGUACCUGAAGAAGAAGCCCCGGCUAACUACGUACCAGCAGCCGCGGUAAUACGUAGGGGGCAAGCGUGAUCCGGAUUUACUGGGUUGAAAGGGGGCGCAGACGGCGAUGCAAGCCAGGAGUGAAAGCCCGGGGCCCAACCCCGGGACUGCUCUUGGAACUGCGUGGCUGGAGUGCAGGAGGGGCAGGCGGAAUUCCUGGUGUAGCGGUGAAAUGCGUAGAUAUCAGGAGGAACACCGGUGGCGAAGGCGGCCUGCUGGACUGCAACUGACGUUGAGGCCCGAAAGCGUGGGGAGCAAACAGGAGUAGAUACCCUGGUAGUC
rnacentral:rRNA from 1 species